CUAUAAAACCCUGGAUUCCUAAUAGAUGUCCAGUAUGAGCUCAAAAAUGUAUCUCUUCAUGGUUAUCGGUUACUACCUUGUCUAUUCUGCAUUUGGGGUUCACAUUCCUGAUAUUGAGGAAGACUUCCCUUCAUUCGACCUUGAUGAUUCUGCAUUUGACAUUGACCUUAAUGGAGAGCUCCAUUUUGAUCCCACAG